UAGGGUGCGAGCGUUAAUCGGAAUUACUGGGCGUAAAGCGUGCGCAGGCGGUCUGUUAAGACCGAUGUGAAAUCCCCGGGCUUAACCUGGGAACUGCAUUGGUGACUGGCAGGCUUUGAGUGUGGCAGAGGGAGGUAGAAUUCCACGUGUAGCAGUGAAAUGCGUAGAGAUGUGGAGGGAUACCGAUGGCGAAGGCAGCCUCCUGGGCCAACACUGACGCUCAUGCACGAAAGCGUGGGGAGCAAACAGG
rnacentral:rRNA from 1 species